AAAUAUCUUUCGUUUCUCCUUCCCCUCGUCCUCGUGUUCUUCCUCCCUCUCUCCUUUCUCUUUUCUCUCUCCCUCUCACAUCUCUCUCUUCUAGGUACCCAGGAGCUCCCCGUUACCAUGAACGCCUUCUUGAACCGGAGCUCGCCGCUGCCGGGAAUCGCCAUGCGUCGCCGGAGAUCGCGUCCUCGUCCCGGUUCCUAGACCCCGCCAUGGAUCCCCGCGGCCGAGCUCUCCCUGUCGCUGGUUGCCUCACCACCGUCCAAGAACUGCCUCCAGACGGCCUCGCCGUUCCCCAGCCUCGCCUGCAUCAGGAUCCGUCGGAUCCUGGCCAUCCCUUCAUUGGCAACCUUGUCCCUGCACUCAGCCUCGUCAACGACCGAGGUGGAGCGCCCUGUGUGCGUUGACCGCGGUCACUCCGCGCGUGGGCCAGCUGGCCAUGCCAGGCCCAGCGCCGCCCCCUGCCGGCCUGCCUCCUAUCCAUCGAACGGGCCAAGGGCCAUGCCCUAGUUCGUUGCGAUUGUGAGGAUCCGUUCGACUACGUUGGUUCGUCUACUUCAUAGACUUGGUCUUGUUCCUAGCGGGAUUUCAGGCAAGAUGAUCAUUCCCUUGGAUCUCACUACUAUCUUUGCUAUGCUAGUUGUCUCGAUGCUAUCGCUAUGUCGCGCUACCUACCACUUAUUUAUCAAGCCU